GAUGAACGCUGGCGGCGUGCCUAAUACAUGCAAGUCGAGCGAACGGACGAGAAGCUUGCUUCUCUGAUGUUAGCGGCGGACGGGUGAGUAACACGUGGAUAACCUACCUAUAAGACUGGGAUAACUUCGGGAAACCGGAGCUAAUACCGGAUAAUAUUUUGAACCGCAUGGUUCAAAAGUGAAAGACGGUCUUGCUGUCACUUAUAGAUGGAUCCGCGCUGCAUUAGCUAGUUGGUAAGGUAACGGCUUACCAAGGCAACGAUGCAUAGCCGACCUGAGAGGGUGAUCGGCCACACUGGAACUGAGACACGGUCCAGACUCCUACGGGAGGCAGCAGUAGGGAAUCUUCCGCAAUGGGCGAAAGCCUGACGGAGCAACGCCGCGUGAGUGAUGAAGGUCUUCGGAUCGUAAAACUCUGUUAUUAGGGAAGAACAUAUGUGUAAGUAACUGUGCACAUCGUGACGGUACCUAAUCAGAAAGCCACGGCUAACUACGUG
rnacentral:rRNA from 1 species